GAUGAACGCUAGCUACCGGCCUAACACAUGCAAGUCGAGGGGCAGCGGGAAUUAAGCUUGCUUAGUUUGCCGGCGACCGGCGCACGGGUGCGUAACGCGUAUCGAACCUGCCUCAUACUGGGGGAUAGCCUUGCGAAAGCAAGAUUAAUACCCCAUGGUUCCGGUCCUUCGCAUGGAGGUCCGUAUAAAGAUUUAUCGGUAUGAGAUGGCGAUGCGUCCCAUUAGCUAGUUGGCGGGGUAACGGCCCACCAAGGCGACGAUGGGUAGGGGUUCUGAGAGGAAGGUCCCCCACAUUGGAACUGAGACACGGUCCAAACUCCUACGGGAGGCAGCAGUGAGGAAUAUUGGUCAAUGGACGUAAGUCUGAACCAGCCAAGUAGCGUGCAGGAUGAAGGCCCUCCGGGUCGUAAACUGCUUUUGGGUGAGGGUAAAAGGCGGGACGUGUCCUGCGUAUUGCAAGUAUCACCCGAAUAAGGACCGGCUAAUUCCGUGCCAGCAGCCGCGGUAAUACGGAAGGUCCGGGCGUUAUCCGGAUUUAUUGGGUUUAAAGGGAGCGCAGGCGGUUCUUCAAGUCAGCUGUGAAAACGCGGGGCUCAACCUCGCGCCUGCAGUUGAUACUGUUGAACUUGAGUGCACACAGGGAUGUUGGAAUUUAUGGUGUAGCGGUGAAAUGCUUAGAUAUCAUGAAGAACUCCGAUCGCGAAGGCAUAUGUCCGGUGUGUUACUGACGCUGAGGCUCGAAAGCGCGNGUAUCGAACAGG
rnacentral:rRNA from 1 species